CCUUUAUAUUGACUCCCCGACCUUUCUUGCAGAUUGGGCACCAGCUUGUCGCCAACGUCGAGGCGGUGAAGAUCGCCAAGAGGGAGGUAGCUUGAGCGAAGGAAGGUCGCCUGGCUGGGGCCGCCCACCUCGAGGAGAAGAUCGCUGAGACCCUAAGUCUCCAAGAGGCACUGGAAAAGGAGGGACAAACCUCGUCCGAUCUGAGGACCGCCUUG
rnacentral:lncRNA from 1 species